GGGCGCUCAGCUCGGUGCCGCGGGGGGCGGGGUCGGGGCGUGGCCGCGCUCUUCGCCCAAUCGGUGCUCAGCGCCCUGGCGGGGGCGGGGCUGAGCCGGGCCUGGAGCCGCCCCCAGCCCCUCCCCCUGCCGGUCAGGGGGGCGGUGUCCCCUGCGCUGGGUGGGGCCGGGGGGGGAGGAGCUCGAGCGGCUCCCGCUGGACCCCAAGGCCUUCUGCGCCUGGAGCGCGCCCGGCACGGCCACCGGCGGGCUGGUCUACGCGCACUUCGGGCGCCCCCAGGACCUGGCGCAGCUGCGGGCGCGGGGGGUGGGGCUGCGGGGGCGGCUGGCGCUGCUGCGGAUGGGGCGGGGCAGCCCCCGCCCAGCAGGUG